rnacentral:rRNA from 1 species
AUUGAACGCUGGCGGUAUGCUUUACACAUGCAAGUCGAACGGUAGAGGGGGCAACCCCUCGAGAGUGGCGAACGGGCGAGUAAUAUAUCGGAACGUGCCCAGUCGUGGGGGAUAACGUAGCGAAAGUUACGCUAAUACCGCAUACGUUCUAAGGAUGAAAGCGGGGGAUCGCAAGACCUCGCGCGAUUGGAGCGGCGGAUAUCAGAUUAGGUAGUUGGUGGGGUAAAGGCUCACCAAGCCAACGAUCUGUAGCUGGUCUGAGAGGACGACCAGCCACACUGGAACUGAGACACGGUCCAGACUCCUACGGGAGGCAGCAGUGGGGAAUUUUGGACAAUGGACGCAAGUCUGAUCCAGCCAUUCCGCGUGCAGGAUGAAGGCCCUCGGGUUGUAAACUGCUUUUGUACGGAACGAAAAGGUCUCUCUUAAUACGGGGGACUCAUGACGGUACCGUAAGAAUAAGCACCGGCUAACUACGUGCCAGCCGCCGCAGUAA